rnacentral:rRNA from 1 species
AUUGAACGCUGGCGGCAGGCCUAACACAUGCAAGUCGAGCGAGCGGCGGACGGGUGAGUAAUGUAUGGGGACUGCCCGAUAGAGGGGGAUAACUACUGGAAACGGUGGCUAAUACAGCAUACUAUCGGAUAACCCAUAUGGGAUUAGCUAGUAGGUGGGGUAAAGGCUCACCUAGGCGACGAUCUCUAGCUGGUCUGAGAGGAUGAUCAGCCACGCUGGGACUGAGACACGGCCCAGACUCAUCCGGAGGAAGCAGUGGGGGAUAGUGCACAAUGUGCGCAAGCCUGAUGCAGCCAUGCCGCGUGUAUGAAGAAGGCCUUAGGGUUGUAAAGUACUUUCAGCGGUGAGGCGUUACCCGCAGAAGAAGCACCGGCUAACUCCUUGCCAGCAGCCGCGGUAAUAC